rnacentral:lncRNA from 1 species
CCGAACCGAACCGAACCGAAACUGGUCGGUUUGAACCGGUUUCGGUUCGGUUUCGGUUUUGAUUUAAAAAUGAAUAAAUAAAUCGGUUUGGUUAGUUUUUUAGGUGAAAACCGGACCGAACCGGAAAUGCUCACCCCUAGUGUGCAUGUAACCCAAAGAAUAAAUAGUGUUUGUGUCAUCGACCGAGACGGUGAGCACUGUGGGCGUGCAAUGACGUUUCUGCUCGGAGGAGGCUAUGUGAUUUCUUUUUGACAGGCAGCGGUUUCUUUUCUUUAUUCUUUAUUAUUUUUUCCCAAAGGGUUCCUAUUAAGAUAGAAAGGAUACAUGGUUCAGACAAAAAAAAAAAAACAUAUUUAUCUUGUAAUCCUAUUUAUUUUUAUAUUUUAUAUUUAUCUCUCUAACCCGAAACAUGUUUGUUCUUUUUAUAUUUAUAUUUAUAUUUGUACUUUCUAUUUUAAAACAAUAAUCAGUGCAUUAAUUAGACAGACAAUUACUAUCUAAUCACAAUUAUUUUCACAAUUUACACGGCUGAAUCUUGAAACACACAUGGUGCGGCUAAUCAAGCCAAAUUUGAUAGCAUUGAAGGGGUUUUGGUGACUUUUAUUUUUCACAAGAAGAAUGAAGUGCAACAUGGUGUUAUGUUGGCUUUAUCUUGCAGCUGCAAAAUGGGAUAAAAUGGCUGUCAUUUGUCAUUUUAUGGAGUUGAAUUAAACAUAUUUGUUUUUACGUUAUAAUUUUUUUUAAUUUUGUUUUUUUAAUUUUUUUUAUCAAUAUCCUCUCUCUCAUUUCUUUUUUUAAUUGUUCGCAUUUAAAUUUUUUUAUAACUAGUAACUAAUCUUUUUUAUUGUCUCUAUAAUUUUAUAAUAUCUUAAAUAGAUUAUUAUAAUUUAUCUUUAAAUUUUACAUCGAUCUAUUGUGUUUGUAUAUAUGAUAUAUUUAUAAAAAUAAAAAUCACAUGUAUUUAAUGAACCUAAUUUCACCUCCAAGAUUGAUAAAAAAUAUAUAUUUAAAAUGAAAAGAACAAUAAAGAUAAAAUAUUUACAUGUAUAUCUAUCAUUUCCUUUUUUACUAGGAUAUAUAAUUUAUUUUGUUCUCUUCUUGGAGACCCUUCUUCUGCAUACUCAACUCACUUUAUUUCUUCAAGCUAGUGAUAUUAGAAAAAUAAAAAAAUACUAUUAAUAUUAGAAAAAACCUAUAUAUAAUUUUUUUAUAUUUUGAUAAUAUAAUACCCACUUAAGAAUAUAUUAAGAAAAUUAAUGUGAAAACAGGAAAAGAAAGAAAGCAUCACGGUAGCAAUAGUGCCAUAAACGUGUUUGUCGGAGAAAAGAAGAAAGAGCUUGGAGAGGUGGAAGAUAAUUCACAUCAAUGGUGAUGUGAAUGUUUGUACCUGAAAUAUUCUCACGGUUGAUUGAGACUUGUUGUUGCUAAUGAUUAAUCGAUUUUAAUUUAAGACAAGACUGCAAGAUCAUCGUGUACAUCGAAACAUGGAGAGAUAAUAACCUAAGGCUGGUUGGUUUGUUUUUGCGUUUUAAACGUUUAUAUUUAUCAUGUAAAUAUUAUCUGUGAGCUUGUUGAAGCUCAGGGGCCUGAUUUUGUGCCUCGAAAGAAGUAGAAAACAUUACAAAAAAAAAAACCAUACUUAUCAGUGCAUUAAUUAGUUUUACAAUUUACACGGCUGAAUCUUGAAACACCAGCCCAGUUAUUGGCCAUUUUAAGCUUCAAACGCAACGGCUGAAACCUUCGAACUUACUCUUGACUUCCAUCUGGAAGUGCUUCAUCGUUAAAUUCAUUGUUUUACUUUUAUAUAUAUAUAUAUAUAUAUAUAUAUAUAUUGAGUUAUCUCGAUAUUAUAUUUCGGAUAAUAAGUUAGUCAAAUUAACCAUGAUUGUCACUCUCUUUUUUUUUUCCUUUGAUUUGUUUUAUAAAAUUAAAAUGUUUUAAACAAUUUCAUACUUCGGUGUUAAAUUAUUGAUCCUUGAACUAAGUGAUUUUUUCACUUUUUUAUUUUAUUUUGAGUUAUCCCCAGUAUAGGUUAAUCAAAUUAACCCGGGUUAACUUGCAUUUUCUUACUCGAUGUCUUUUUAUUUAACUUCGGUUUUUUUUGUUGGGUCCUUCUUUUGGAAAUCUAACUUUUUUUAUCCUGAUUUCAUGCCGCUAGUGGCAAGUUAGUCGAGUUAACUGGGUAUUUUCCCCCCAAAUUUUUUAUGACUUGUUUUUAUUUUUUAAUUUUAUCAUUCUGCAUUAAAUUAUUUUCCUUAAACUUUUUUUUUUUUUUUUGCUUCUCUUUCUAUUUCUUUAUUUCAAGAGUGGGUUGAUCAAGCUAACUAGGGUCAACUUGCAUUUUUGUUCACAACAUUUUUUAAUUUAACUUAUGUCUUUUUUGGCUUACCCUUUAAUUUAUAGAGGUCUAAUUUUUUUAACAUGGUUGUCUCGGAUUAUCAUCGCUUGAAUAUCUUUUUUUAAUGUUGAAAAAAAUUUGGUCCGACCCUCGAUGUGGCUCAAGCCACCUUCUUUCCAAUGAACAACACUUAAAUAAUAGCAUUCAAGGAGAGGAACAAUGAUUUCCCUAUAUUAGUUUUUGUUGAUAGACUAGAUCUUUGACCUGCUCUACACUCGGGUCAGAUCAAUUUUUUUUAAAUUACAAAAGAAACAUCCAGACAUUGCUUAUAUUUUUCAAGUAAAUGAUUUUUAAAACCGCGUGGAUGUUGAGCCGAUAUGACCUGAUCGACCUGAUGGAUAUAACCCCAAACAACCUGUAAAAAUGUUGUUUGAUUACCAAAAAUUCAAGACAAUAUUUUUUUUUAAUAAUAUUAGAAUGAAAACAUAUUGAAUCGAUUCGGGCUAACACAGGUUAAUUUAUCAAAUUGACGACCUAGAUUAUAAGACUAUGAUAACCCCACAAAAAGUAAAUCAAAAUAAAUUACGAAGCUCAAUUCUCAAUCAACUCAUUGUUGAAGAAUGUAAAUGAAAAACAUUAAUUAAAAAAUAACAAAAAAUUAUCUAGGUUAACUUGUCAAACCUGUGAUCCGGGUUAUCAUAUCAAAGAUAACCUCAUGAAAAGUAGACAAAAAAAAUUACUUGAUUUAACCCGGAUUAAUAUGUCGAACCUGCGACCAAGGUCAUGAUAUUGUGAUAACCCCAUUAAAAAAAUCAAAAUAAAUUGUGAAGCCUAAUUUUUAAUAAACUCAUUGUUAAAGGUUGAAAAUAAAAAAAAAAUCAAUUUAAAAAUAGAACACAGUGAAACAACUUGAGUCUACCCGGGUUAACCCCCAAAACACGUGAUCCGAGCAUAAGACUGGAUAACCUCGUAGAAAGCAAAACAAAAUAAAUCACGAAGCCUAAAUCACAAUCAAACCAAUGUCGAAUCAUGAAAAUAUAAAAAAUGCCAAUGAAAAAGUUAAAAAAAAAAAAAAAAAAACUCAAGUCAACAGGGUUAACUCACCAAACCCACGACUCAAGUCACAAAGCUGAGAGAACCUCAUAAAAAAUAAAUCAAAAUAAAUCAUGGAGCCUAAUUCCCAGUCAACUUGAUGUUGAAUGACUAAAUUGAGAAAAAAAAACGAUCAAUUAAAAAGAGAGAAACCACAAUAAAUCUGCAACACGGGUUAUAAAUCCAAGCUAACCACAAUAAAUUAUGAAUCCUAAUAUCCAAUAAACUAAAUAUUGAAGUAUGAAAUUAGAAAAAAAAUCAGGAUAAUCUCAUAGAAAGUAAAUAAAAAAAGACCUAAGUCAACCUUAAUUAAUCUGUCAAACUCGCGAUCAAGAUCAUGAGACUGUGAUAACCUUGUUAAAAGCAAAAAUAAAUAAAUUAUGAAGCCUAGUUUUCAAUAAGCUCAUUGUUAAAGGUUGAAAAUGAAGAAAAUUAAAUUAAAAAAUGGGAUACAACAAAACAAUAUGUGUUUAUCCGUGUUAACCCACAAAACACGUGACCUAAGCAUAAAACCAAGAUAAACCCAUAGAAAACAAACCAAAAUAGUUCACGGGGCCUAAUUCGUAAUCAACCAAAUAGUGAAGGAUGAAAUAGAAAAAAUUCCAAUAAAAAAAAAUGUCAAUAAAAACUCAAGUUAAGUAGGUUGACCCGCCAAACCCGCGACUCGAGUAAUAAGACUGAGAUAACAUUAUAUAAAGCAAACUAAAAUAAAUCAUGAAACCUAAUUCCCAAUCAACCUAAUGUUGAAUGAUGAAAUUGAAAAAAAAUUAUCAAUUAAAAAAGAUAUAUAAAACUGGAGUCAACCCGCCAAACACGUGACACGGGUUACAAGAUUGAGCUAAAUAAAGCAAACCACAAUAAAUUAUAAAACCUAAUCUCCAAUAAACUAAAUAUUGAAGUAUAAAAUUAGAAAAAAUAUAUAUAUAUAGAAAAAUAAAGACAAAAAAAUGUUGUUGAAAUGAAUAGUAUUUUACAAGAUAGUGCACUAUAAAAGCACCACCUCUUUUAGUUUAUACUAGAUAUUUGACCCGUGUUUCACCAUUGGUUAGAAUUAUUAUUUUUUGACAAAAAAAUUUAUAUAUAGACUAUUUCAAUAAUUUUUUGUAUUUUAGAAAAUUCCAAGUGAAAAAAACAAUAUACAUACAUAUAAUCAAAACAAUUGAGAACUGUAUGUCUUAAUAAGUGAAAAACAAAAACUGAAAACUCGAGAGACAAGUAUAGAUUAAGAUAUUUAAUUUUGUAAGAUGUGACAUUUACACGGUUGUGUUUUCUAAAUUUAUUGAUUAAAAUAAUUGUUUUAUUCAAUCAAACAAUAAUAAAAAUAGACACACAAAUUAAGUUAAUUGAAUAAAAUAAAAUGUAAAAAAUAAUAUGCAAGGUUGCACAUAUUAGAAAUAUUAUUUGAAAAUAAAUUUCUUUUUAUUUUCAAAAUUAAAUUUCAUGUAUAUAAAAGAUUAAAAAAUAUAGAUUAAUAAGAAAUACCUCCUAAAAAAUUAAAUGCAUAAUUAAAAUAUAAUUUUCAUUUCAAAUAAGCUUUCUAAAAGCAUAAAAGAGAGAAAGAAUAUUAAUCUAAAUAAAAAUAAAAAUAAAAAUAAAAAUAAGAUUAAUUUUUAAAAAAUAGAAACAAAAAACAAAAGAAAAUCUUUUUCCCUAAAGAGAAAAAAAGUUAAUAAUGUUGUCCAUAGUAAAACUUGAGGGGUGAACCUAGACCAUGAGCUCAACCAGGUUUAAUAUUUUUUUCCCUUGAAAUUUAAACAUAAAAAAAAUAAACAAUGUCAUCCACGGUAAAACAUAAAGGGAUGAAUAAUGCAGUUGCACGAUGUUCACCUCACAUAUUUUCCCUUUAAAUUUAUAGCAAAACCUUAAAAUAAAAUAACAAACUAGUGUCGUCCAAAAUAAAACAUGAGGGGGUGAGCAGUGUAUCUACAUAGUGUUCACCCCAUAUGCAUUGUCAAAAUCUAAUUUUUUACCCUUUUAUUUUAAUUUUUUUUUUAUUACCCAAAAAAAUGAUAGCAAAAAAAAAAAGAAAAAGAAAAAAUGAUGAUGGAAGAAAUAAAAUGAUGAAAUAAUUGAAGAAGGAAUCAAAAUUUGGGUUAAGGGCAAAAUGAUUUGAAGUUUUUGUGUUCACUUAAACUUUGGAUUGGUUUUAUUAAUCAAAUCAAGAGCUUAAUUAGAGAAUUGAUAAGUUUUGAGACUUAAUUGAGCUUGGAAUUAAUUUAAAUAAUGAAAUCAGGGACUUAAUUGAAGAAAUACCAAAGUCUGGGGUUAAUUGAGGGCACAAUUGCAAUAUAUUAAAGUCCAAGGUCUAAAUUGUAAAAGGCGCCGAAAUGCAGGGAUCCAGUUACAAUUUAACUAGGAGCUUAAUUACAAAACUGUAAAAAAUUCAAGGGCCAAAAUGCAAAUAGCCAUUAAACACUAAAAAACAGCUUUGUUUCCCACUACUGUUCAUCUUCCUCCCGACUAAAACGGACGCCCACCGCUGCUCCCACCAUUACACCUGCAAUUAACACACUUUAUGGCUGGAAGAAACGGCAUUGUUCUCUGGUUAUAAAAGACAACAAGGCUAACAAGGUGUCUGGGUGAUCUGGAAGCCAACAAGCCCUUACAAGAAGUGCACGGGGCAAUUUGUGCUACCCACGCAAAUAGACACAUGAUGGCUAGGCAAAUGCAUAAUUUUUAACACGCAAAUAGAGCAGGUUAUUUUUAGCUGACCAAGGAGAAAGAUUGCAUAAUUUUGUCCGAAGGUGCCACAAAUGUCAAGUGUAUAGUGACAAAGUCAAUACGCCUCCCGCACCCUUAUUCAACAUAGUGUCUCCUUGGCCCUUUGCAAUGUGGGGAAUAGAUGUGAUUGAGCCAGCCUAUUAAUUCAAAAGCCAGUAAUGUGUAUCGUGUUAUCCUUAUAGCGAUUGAUUACUUUACCAAAUAGGUAAAGGUCUUCUCAUAUGCCCAUGUGACUUAGAAAGUGGUCAAACGGUUCAUAGACAAAGAUAUAAUCUGUAGAUAUGGUGUACCCGAGAGAGUAGUGACUGAUAAUGCUCAAAACUUCAAUGGAAAGAUAAUAGCAGAGCUUAUGCUUGCUUAUUCAUGUGCACAUCAAUCGAGCUACUUUUAUUGUUUAUACAUGUAUUUUGACUUUUAGAAACUCAUGAGGAACUUCAAACAUUCCAUUUUGACUUCAUUCCUGCAAAGAAAGCUGAUAGUCUUCAGCAUACACUCAUCAUACUUAAUCCAUUGCAUAAUCAUAACUACUAAUUCUUCUAUAGGCAAGAAAUUUUCUGGAACUCAGACUACCCUGUAACAACAACCACAAAAACAUCUCAAUUUUUUAGGAGGAAAUAUACUUGCUAGAGUUAAGUAUCAAAAUUCUCAUAUCCUGGAUGCUGAAUAUCAUCAAUGAGAGCACAAGCUGAUUUAACAGUAAAAAUCUCAUUCUUCUCUCACUGCCACACCCUUAUCUCAGCUGAAUAAAAAAUAGAUAAAUUCCACUCUGCUUUAGGUUUUGAUGACUCCAAACGCAGACACUCCCUAUUCUCAGCUUCAUGCAUGACCCCACAUUUAGCAAUACAUGUCAAUGAACGCGUUUGCUAUGAUCACACUGAUUCGUUGUGUUUUGUAACGAUGAUGUAGUUUCAAUGGAUUCCCUGACCAAAUUCCAAGCAAUCCAAUUGCCACAAGCAGAGAGCACACGAACUAAUGUUCUCCAAUGGAACAAACGCAGCCUCCAGCAUGUUACAAACCAUUCUAAAGCUUCCUUUGGGUGGUUGCCCAGCAAUCCCAUGGCACUCCAGGAAACCACAUUCCUCUCCGGAAUCUCAUUAAACGACAUCCUUGCCAGCUCUAGCUCACCGCGUUUAGCAAACCCAUCAACCAUACUCGUCCAAGAAAGCACAUCUCUAACUCCCAUACUCGUCCAAGCAGCCACAUUUCACAUUCAUGGUGAUUUGCAUUUCUAGUUUUACAUAUUCGUGAAAACUCUUCCCUAUUCUCAAACCCCCCUUCUGCGAGCAAGCUGAACGAGCGGCUCUAAUUUAAUUCUUUAAAUUCUUUGCCGCUUCCUCUCAACGCUGUCGUUUAUGCUGUAUUUGAAUAAUUUCCCUCUUCUGUUGUCUUAAUCCCUAGCUUUGUUAAUUCCAUUCGUGACACAGUGUGAGAGGGGGCAAAAGGCAAAAGGCAAAGGCAAGACAAAGCUUGGGGGUAGAUUAGCCAGACUAUAAAGGAGAAGGACUUAUUUGUACUUGUUCCAAGAUUGUGAGUCAAAAUAAUACCGCUUCUUUUCCUUCAAACGCAAUCUCGUCCUACGUUCCAGGGAAUCUUUUUACCUAAUCUCUUAAUAUAUAUUUGAAUGGCAUCUUGGCUUAAGCUCCUUCAAUUAUUGCUUUCGAAUAUUCUCAUGGUAUUGCUCUUUGUUUUUGAGGAUCCAAUUAAUAAGCAAAUCAUGGAGACUUGGCUGUUGACCCUCAACACUCUCGUCUGCAUUGACUCCUUCAAUAUCUUGGAUGUGAACCAGGCUUGGAAUAUUGGGUGUUCUUGUUUUUGAUACAUGUAAAGAGGUAAGCUAAGCAUCUCUUUCAAGAUCUCUCUAGCUGCUGCAGGGAUGCCAAAUCGCUUUCUUUCUUCAAGUUCCUUAGCAGGAGUAUUGUAUAGCAACCAACUUUCUUUGGGUUUUGCUCCAGGUUUGGGCCAAUUUUGAUGCCUUCUGUGAAUCCCUCCAUCUGGGCUUAUCAAAAGAGGAGGAAAGAAGUAAGUUUCUCUUCUCAGUUUCAGUGUUUCAGUACGCCAUAACACCAUCUCCAGCUUCUUUCAGAAGAGCAGUUCGAAGCAUUCGCAGAGCAGAAAAUAGUUUGGCGGACAGGUUCUGUCAUGUUAAAAGUUCAAUAGAUGGUCAGGAAUCUCAUCAAUCAUGAUGAAUGAAGAGAACAAAAACCCAAGACAUAAGCAUACCAAGUCCACUUCAGAUUGAGGUUGGGCAGGACUACAAGCUUGUGGAGGACUUAACUUCCCAGACAUUAGAGAGCCUUUUGCUGGAGUAGCCUCGGAUUUGCCCUGUUUUGAAGCUUUUACAGAGGAAGGGAAUCUACAAGGAGCAUGAGAUACCAGAAUGAGCAUCCUACCUGUUCAUUUCAGCUAUGAAAAACAGAAAGGUUAAAUGAUGAUAGUUUGUCCAGAGGAUCAUAAUAUGUGAGGCUAAGCAAAGCACAAGGCUAAGCUUGCUGGCUUCAUCCAACUCUUGGUCUCCAUAAUUUAGUCAAAGCCACCCUCGCUAAUGCUAUAUGUAAAUUGUAAAUUUUAUAACCAGUCGCUCCAAAGUUAAACAUCUGGACCAACCAACACAAAACUUACUCGGGCCAGAUUUCUGACAGCUUCAUCUGAAUUUCUUUGCAAAAACAUGUGUUUUGCAUAGGUUUUGCCCAAUGAAAGGGUAUGGUUUAGACCGAACAAUCCAACCCAAAUGAACUAAGACCUUGUCGGUUCUAUUUUCUCUUAUGCUCAAUAUCCACAUGCUUCUUCAGAGAAUAAUCAAAAGAAGCAUACAUUUGGCACUUUUCUUAUGCUCAAUAUCCACAUGCAUUUGGCAAUAGAGCACUGGCAUAAGUCUAAUGAAACAUGUACUCAAAAGAAGCAUGCUGAAAGGCUGCACCUUAAAACAAUCCUUUGCCCGCCAGAGCAUAGUUUGUGUGCCUUGGAUUCAUUCACCUGAAAGAAAUUAAAAUGAUCAUUUAACAUGAGAAAUUAAACAAUGAGAAUGGUAGAGUCGCUCUCUCUAUCACACUGAGUUAAGCUCUAUAUAGAAUUUGAAAAACCACAAGCACCUUUAACACUGACGAUACAGAUCUGUAAAUGUCACUUUUCUUAACUAUUUUGCAUUGUAUGAACCCAUUCUGACAAUAUAUCAAACCAGAAAGCAUGAAACCAACUCUUAAGAUGCCCUAAGCUUCAAAUUUAUAAUUAGAAGGCAAUAUCAAUUGAUAUUUUUUGCUAGAAUACUGGUAAUGUAGAUGACACUCACUUAGCAACUUUCUCUGGCGUGACAUAUAACAACUUGUAUUUACAAUAAUCAGAACAAAGUUCCCUUAGGAUCUCCUGUUGUUCAGUCCACUCCAUGUUGGCACUCAGGUAAGCAGCAGGAAUUUUUGCCUAUAGCACAAACCAAUAGGUAAGAAAAAUGCAUGCCACUAAAUGAGCAGUUUGCAGUAACCAAAGGAAAAUAAAUGCUUGACUAAAUUAGUAAGAUAGCUAGCAUACCUGUAAAAGGUGCAUUAUUUGAUCUUGGAUCAGCGACACGAGUGGAGAAAUUACUAAGGUUAUUCCAGGACAAACUAGAGCAGGAAGCUGCGUGAAUCAUUAAAAAAAAAAAAAAAAGAGUGGGUCCAUUGUUAAAACUGUGAACCAAGAAAAAGUUUAAUUUCCCAGUAUCACCAAAAAUUCAAAGAUAAAGAAAAUUUAGCCAAGCUGGUAUUCUAGAAUCAAUUCAAAUGCAAAAUAUUGUCAGAGAUAUGACUCUGGAAGUUAAACAGAUUGUCACAAAUGGAAACAGCAAAAUAAUGGAAAUUAAAUGAAACUAAAGCUGUGUCUAACAGAAUUAGACUUUAUUAGAGCUGAAUGAUCACCUGAUAUGUCAGACUUUUUCCACCUCCUGUUGGCAUUAAAACAAAGACAUCAUACCCACUCAUUGUAGCAUUGAUUACCUCUCUUUGAUUGGGGCGAAACGAGUGAUUUCCAAACACUUUUUUGUUAUUGGCCUAGCAGCAAACCAAGCAAACAGUAAUAUAGUAUGUAAUGAAACUAGUGAUUGAUAAAAUUCUAAGAAAUGGGUAAAAAUCUAGAGCAAAAGAGCACCUCCAGCUUUUUUGUCCAUGGGAAAUUUGUGCUGCUCCACUUUGAGCCUUCGAUAUAAUUAACUUCAACAAAGCUUGGAAUGUAAGGUUCUCUCUCUAAAGGAACAGAAGAAACAUCAAAGCUAUCAAUGGAAGAGAAUGAAACUGAGGGUGCAUUCCACUUUUCAUAUCCAUUCAGGUCAUUUCGUAGAUGAACCUGGGCAUCAAAUCUCAUGGGAUCUAUUUUGCAUGCAGCAGAUUGAGGUGUUUCAUACUGCAAAUUUCGAACCAAUGUGGAUGCAGAACAAUGUGACUUCUGUCUUUCCUUAUCACGAAGAUAUUUUUCAAGUUGCUGAAUUUGCUUAUUGAGCUGUGACCUAUUUAUGAAAACAGAAAUAGACAUGCAUAAGAGAGCAAAUCUAACAAUCAUUCGAGCUUAUCUCCCAAGAAAAGGAGCUGAGAGUGUUUUACAAAAUGCAAAAAGACAAUGGAGCAUAUUUUUCAUGUCUAUCAUACUAUAUUUCCUUCCAUGUAAUCCCAGAAUUCCUCUGCCAUACUCUAUUUCUAUUCUUCCUGUGAACUUUGGUUCACCUAUUGUGGCUCCAUUGAACCAAAAAAACCCAUGCAUCAAAAGGUAGUAUGAUAUCAUGGGAGAAGAAAAAGGAGAAGAAGCACAACCUAUCUUGGCGAAGCUUAUCUAUUUGCGCUUGACUCAGUUCAGCAGCAUUGUCAAGCAGAUCAUUUGAUACUGCAAUCAGCAUAUCCUUCAUUUCUUGUAAAUGUUUGGCAGCUUCUGGGCAAAGUCCUAGCUGUAAUGAUUUAAGAAUCAGGCAGAUCAAGAUGAGAAUAGAAUAGAACAGUGCAAAUAUAGUGCCCAAACCUUGAAUCCAUGACUGCAGUUUGAACACAACUCAGGUGGCACAGAAAUCUCCUCUGGCCUUGUAAAACUAUUUUGAUCUGCAGUUGGAGUUAUGAGCGGAAACUUAGAAAUUGCUGGUUGCGGUGUGCAAGUAGCUUGGUAGUGCUCCAUAACAAUUUGGUCCACAUCUAUACUCUGCCACCAAGCUAACAUGUGCAAGGAGCAUGAGAUACCAGAAUGAGCAUCCUACCUGUUCAUUUCAGCUAUGAAAAACAUCGAUGUUUGUUUCAUAGCAUCAUCACCAAUGUAUUAGCUCCCAUGAUUUAAAGAACUAUAUAUAUGUUAAAUCUAUUUCUUUUUUAUUCAUUUCGAUUUAUUUAUCCAUCAAAUCAAUGGAAAUCUUCAUUUUCAGACACUUGAAAAGCGCACAAAAUAGAAAAAAUUAAAAUUAAAAACCAACAAAAUUGAAAAACCUGGAAAUGUAAAAACUUGAAGAAAUAAAAAAAAAAAUUAUUGGAAAAGUAAGGUCAUUACAUAUAUACUAUAUAACUCAUACUAUUAGAGACAGAAUCUGAUCACAUAUAAUUAAUUAAAUCCAUUAUUGCUGAGAAUUACAUGCACGUAAUACAUAUUGAAGAAACUAAGAACAGCAACAUAUUUAUUUAAUUAGACUGAUGCUAAGAACAUCGAUUAUCACUACAAACAGUACUCAAACAUAAACAGAUUGACGCUCCAUGCAAAUAAUAGCUAGUUAGCUCUUGUCACUUCAACCCAAACCUCCUCACCAAACAGCAUGAAACUACUCCUCCUCUUAGCUUCAACCCUGAACUGUGACCCCAGGUUCUGGUCAUCCUCACGAUGAAGAACAACCAUGUCACCAACUCUCAGUCCAUAAUCAGCAACAAAUUGAAGCCAGCCCAUAGAAAGCACUGGAUUUUCACCAUUUCUCUUCAGGCAACGAAUGACUCGAAGCUCACCAUAGCAAUCUCUAACAUUCAAAUCAACAUAAUUAUUUCCAGCAAAAUCUAAAUGCUCUAAGCAAUGAGUUGGGAACGAGAACCGCACACGAACAUCAGUAUCAGUUAACACUUUGCUGAAGAUCUGCAUUUUUUUCUCAAGGGUCGUAAAAAGAGAGAGAAAUGGUUAUGUUUAAGCUAUCUACCGGAUUGAUACACUUGCUCAAGAUAUUGUUAAUUAGUGGAGACAAAGUGGAGACAAACAAUGUCCCACCAUAUUGCAAGUGGAAAUAUCUAACAUGGUGGAGAUGGUGGGCAUAAAUCAUGGUAUAUAUGUAUGCUCAGUAAAGAGUUCGACUGAUUUGAAAUGCUCGGUGUCUGUGUUGUGUGCAUGUAGCCCAAAGAAUAAAUAGUGUUUGUGUCAUCGACCGAGAGCGUCAGCACUGUGGGCGUGCAAUGACGUUUCUACUCGGAGGAGGCUAUGUGAUUUCUUUUUGACAGGCAGCGGUUUAUUUUCUUUAUUCUUUAUUAUUUUUUCCCAAAGGGUUCCUAUUAAGAUAGAAAGGACACAUGGUUCAGACAAAAAAAAAAAACAUAUUUAUCUUGUAAUCAUAUUUAUUUUUAUAUUUUAUAUUUAUCUCUCUAAC